rnacentral:rRNA from 1 species
CCUACGGGAGGCAGCAGUGAGGAAUAUUGGUCAAUGGACGAGAGUCUGAACCAGCCAAGUAGCGUGAAGGAUGACUGCCCUAUGGGUUGUAAACUUCUUUUAUAUGGGAAUAAAAUGUUCCACGUGUGGGAUUUUGUAUGUACCAUAUGAAUAAGGAUCGGCUAACACCGUGCCAGCAGCCGCGGUAAUACGGAGGAUCCGAGCGUUAUCCGGAUUUAUUGGGUUUAAAGGGAGCGUAGGUGGAUUGUUAAGUCAGUUGUGAAAGUUUGUGGCUCAACCGUAAAAUUGCAGUUGAAACUGGCAGUCUUGAGUACAGUAGAGGUGGGCGGAAUUCGUGGUGUAGCGGUGAAAUGCUUAGAUAUCACGAAGAACUCCGAUUGCGAAGGCAGUUCACUGGACUGCAACUGACACUGAGGCUCGAAAGUGUGGGUAUCAAACAGGAUUAGAUACCCGGGUAGUC